AUUGAACGCUGGCGGCGUGCUUAACACAUGCAAGUCGAACGCGAAAGGGACUUCGGUCCUGAGUAAAGUGGCGCACGGUGAGUAACGCGUGGAUAAUCUGCCCUUAUGAUUGGAAUAACAGUUGGAAACGGCUGCUAAUACCGGAUACGCUCAAAAUGAACUUUUUGAGGAAAGAUGGCCUCUGCUUGCAUGCUAUCGCAUAAGGAUGAGUCCGCGUCCCAUUAGCUUGUUGGCGGGGUAACGGCCCACCAAGGCAACGAUGGGUAGCCGAUUUGAGAGGAUGAUCGGCCACACUGGAACUGAACAGGUCCAGACUCCUACGGGAGGCAGCAGUGGGGAAUAUUCGCGCAAUGGGCGAAAGCCUGACGCAGCGACGCCGCGUGAGGGA
rnacentral:rRNA from 1 species